AACGAACGCUGGCGGCAUGCCUAACACAUGCAAGUCGAACGAGGCCUUCGGGUCUAGUGGCGCACGGGUGCGUAACGCGUGGGAAUCUGCCCUUGGGUUCGGAAUAACAGUUAGAAAUGACUGCUAAUACCGGAUGAUGUCUUCGGACCAAAGAUUUAUCGCCCAAGGAUGAGCCCGCGUCGGAUUAGCUAGUUGGUAGGGAAAAGCCUACCAAGGCGACGAUCCGUAGCUGGUCUGAGAGGACGAUCAGCCACACUGGGACUGAGACACGGCCCAGACUCCUACGGGAGGCAGCAGUGGGGAAUAUUGGACAAUGGGCGAAGGCCUGAUCCAGCAAUGCCGCGUGAGUGAUGAAGGCCUUAGGGUUGUAAAGCUCUUUUACCCGGGAUGAUAAUGACAGUACCGGGAGAAUAAGCCCCGGCUAACUCCGUGCCAGCAGCCGCGGUAAUAC
rnacentral:rRNA from 1 species